GAAAGGAUGAACUUCUUGGCUGCCAUUCAGAAUGCCUGGAUUCAAUUCCUGCUUCUCCUGGGGCUUCCUAUGAUGAAUGCCUAAGCUACUGAAGCAUGGUACAAGUCCAGAUGACAAGUACACAGAGACAGGAUAAAAAGAAACAUUGUUCCUGCAGCAGAACAGAUCCAUCCAGCGCAUACAGAGUAUUUCUAACCAGAGCUGAAUUGUGCCCUUUUGCACAGUGAUACAAAGCAGGAUUCCAUUUGCUGAAGUUAAUGAAAUUACUUUCAUACUUUUUCAGGGGGAAAAAAAAAAAUCUCCAAUAUAAUUUAAUUUCAUUUAAUUUUCAAAUCAAAUGUAAACAUGCAUUUCUAGAAGAUGAUUCUUUUAGCAUUUCUGAAACACAAAGAAGAAAUUGCAGCAGGGAAGGCUUCAGCUGCAAGAAGAAGUUUGCAACUUCUGCUGCAACAUUUUAUAAAUAUUUAUAAAUAAUUUUCAUAAUGAUGGGGCCAACUCGAUUUUACAAGCACUGAAUUCUUUCAUGCUGUUAUCAAGAUGUUUGUACAUGAAACAAGACUAAAGAAAUUUUGCUACCUAUUAAAAAGCAUAUCAGCUGGAAAGAAGUUCCACGUAGCUGAUAAUUAAAUUUAGAACACACCACUCUAUUGAUUUUGACUAUCAGAGAAAGAUAUAGCACAAGUUUUUUA